ACUAGAAGUCACCUGGUCUCUGUGUUUGUUCGAUCCUAGGGGUUUUGUCGCCUCAUUCGAGAACUCACCAGUGAAUACCUGCCUGCUCGCUCCGCCGAUUCCACUGCCUCCACUCCACCCUUCGAGCUUCCAGCUCUCUUCCAUUCCCACCUCGCAUUUACCUUCGGAACCGCUGCACACCCUCUCUCAGGAACCUGGCAUCUCACACCCACGCCUCGAAAGACCCGCACCGAAGCUUCAAGAGGAUCAGCGUGUGAAGAUCACUUUAUAAUGAUUUGAAAAAGGUUGCCAUGGCUACAGAAAUUGGAGGAGCAUCCUUAGAUGACAAUACAACCAGCUGUGCGAUUCCUCAUGUCCCAUGAACUGGAAGUCCAGUUCAACCUUUUUGGCCAACAUUGGAAACAAGCUCUUGGACCUGCGUCUCUUUGAUGUUUUGUAUGGAGACUUAAAAGAAAUUAUCCAUCUACAGAAUCACACAAGCAUACAGCAAAGACUCUCGAAGUGGUUUACUGGAGCCCGAGUGGAAGUGGAAAUAGACUAGAGAGACUGCCAGUUUCAAACUCAGGUUGGGGAGGUCUUUCAAGAUGGACAGUUUCAGUAAAGUAUGAGAGAUUUCAAAUUUAAGCAUGCAUAUGGCAUGUAGGUUAUUUUUAAAAAUGUUUGACAAAAAUGUAUUGUGAAAGAUCUAUAUAGGUGUGUAUAUUCACAUUGUGUGUAUCAAUGUGAAUAUACGUGUAUAAAGUUAUAUAGAUAGUAUUUAGAUGUAUACAUUUAUAGACCUGU